rnacentral:lncRNA from 7 species
AACUGUGAGAAAAGUGGUGAUGAGAUACAAGUCAUGCUAAUUUCAAGUGUUAAUGAAGCAGAAUCCAUCCCGAUGUGAAGCCUCUGAAGAGGGAUGCUGCAUCUUCGACGGAAGGUGUUAUGAGUGCAGAUUAGUUAGACAAGUGCUGGAGUGAAUGCAUAAGCAGUGAUUUUGCAUAAUGAGGUAUAGCCCUUAGAUACCCAAGGGCAGUAUGGACACAACUUAAAGAUGGAGCAGGUGCUCUGAUGCCUUCUUGAGAAGGAUCACAAACGCUUCCAAGGGAUGUCUCAGUCCCCAUCUUCUGCUGCAGAAUAAGGUUCAGAAGAAGUCGGAUAUCCCAGCAAGAUCACAGAAUCACAAGAGUUGGAAGGAACCUCAAGAGACUAUUGAAUCCAACCCCCCUGGUCUGACCAACAGAAGGAGUGGCUGCAGUGCAUGCUGUGCCUUUAGUGCACUCCUCAACACGGCACCCAGAAAAUCAAAGUGUGGAAACUGACAGAAUAACCAUUGUGUCGCCCUUUAGCAACUAUCUGCUAAAACAUGGAGGUCGUUCUAUGAAGGGCAGCGUGCUGGAAUGCAAACAAGAAUGUGAAGUGUUUUGUAUGAAUGUGGAUUCUUCCAUUCCAAUACUAACUGGCUGUCAGCAGUUCUCUUUGAAGGCAGUAGAGUUUUUUGGCGUGCAAUCUCUUCCAAAGCAUUGACUCAUGGGAGGAAGAGGGAGCAGCUUUUCCUUUUGCUCAGCAUGCAAGCCUCUGAUAACAGGGUCUGCUGGGAUGUUCUGUCCAAGGAGAUUGAUCAGAGGUGUCGGAGCGAGCUGUGCUCAACUGGGCCUGGCAGCAAAACUGGGAGAGGCUCACAAUGAGGGUGAAAGGGAGGAGGAAAACCAGACGUUCUGCUUUUAUCAUUGUAAUGCCAUAGGGCUUUAAACAGCAAAAUCUGUGCUGGUAGGAAAGCCCAUGCCUAAAUAUCAGUACCAGCUUGGAUGAUAAAUAUGGACUAAGAGAAGGCUCCUAAGUAGAGACUUAAACUGACUGGUAUCCUCCAGGUGUGUAAACCUACUUAAAUCCUGAAAUAAAAACAGUGUACUUCAAAACUAAAUGCAACUGAAGAACAACACAGUGCAAAUUUCAAGUCUGCUCCUUUUCUUUCAGACUUGAGAAGAUCUGAUGGGCCUAAAAGCUUUCUAGUCUAAGUUUUCUAGCUGUGCUGCUUUGUUUCAGGCAGGAUAUCUGUGUUAGAGUUCCUUGUUCUUGGGGCCACGAUAUGAGUAAUAUCAGCAUCAAAAGAUGGUACGUUACCAGUUGCAAGGAAUCUGGCUGGGUUCUUGUGCAGUUUUACUUCUUUUGCAAGUCUUGUGGCAGCCUGCUAUAGGAUGGGCUCCUCACUGAAGGUGUCUUUAAUGGAUGGGAACAGAGAUGUCCUCUGUCUGCAUGUUUGCUAUGUGUGCAGUUUUCCAGCAGGCUUAUUCUUAUCUGUUUCUGUGGCUCUUCGCAUGAAACUUGGCAUGGUUUUGGAGAUGUUUUGGUAUUUUAUUGAUGUUGCUCACAAGGCAGAUACAUUUUCUUUCCCUUGUAAGCUAUGGAAAAACCUAAAGCUUCUU